rnacentral:rRNA from 1 species
AACGAACGCUGGCGGCAUGCCUAACACAUGCAAGUCGAACGAAGCCUUCGGGCUUAGUGGCGCACGGGUGCGUAACACGUGGGAAUCUGCCCUUCGGUUCGGAAUAACAGUUAGAAAUGACUGCUAAUACCGGAUGAUGACGUAAGUCCAAAGAUUUAUCGCCGAAGGAUGAGCCCGCGUAGGAUUAGGUAGUUGGUAGGGUAAUGGCCUACCAAGCCGACGAUCCUUAGCUGGUCUGAGAGGAUGAUCAGCCACACUGGGACUGAGACACGGCCCAGACUCCUACGGGAGGCAGCAGUGGGGAAUAUUGGACAAUGGGCGAAAGCCUGAUCCAGCAAUGCCGCGUGAGUGAUGAAGGCCUUAGGGUUGUAAAGCUCUUUUGUUUGGGAAGAAAUCCCUAAGGAUAAUACCCUUGGGGGAUGACGGUACCAAAAGAAUAAGCACCGGCUAACUACGUGCCAGCAGCCGCGGUAAACUGUAGUCU